UUCUGACUAAAAUCUGGUUGAGUAAGAAAGAUAUGGUAUAUUGGUAUGUUUCUUUUGAUAGAAUUGCCUGUUGAAGUCAGAUGCUCUCUGGAACUUGAUGUUGGCACAUAGGAAUAUGUCUUUCUUCUUGUUUUUCUCAUGUUAGAUUUUGAGUUCCAUCGUAUACCGGUUUGAGUUCUUAAAAUAAACAUGCUUACAUCCUGAACUUCUUCUAGCCAAAAUAAAAUGUGCUAUAGGUGGACGUAUGACAGAAAAAGACUGGCGUAGGAAGUGAUAUAGUAGACCUGAGUUUUCAUUGGCCUUACAUGGUCAUUCAAUAUGAAGUCCUGUGAUUUAGUAGACACGAAUAUUUGGUCUACAGAGUUUUCAUAUACCGCUAUCUAUUUUACCUUGUAUUUGGUAAACCCGAUGAUCUUGCUACAGUAUCAGGUAAAGUUUUAUAACUUUAGCAGAAGAGUUGGUAGUUACUUGGACAAAAUGAUGUUUCUGUUUGGGACCAGGAGCUUUUGGUUUUUGGGAGUCCUAAUUCAUUUUUUUUCAAUCAAUAAUUUGAUAGUUUGUACUUUUCUACAUGUCCCAACUUCUCACAGAAUGAACCCCGAGCCUGGUUGGGUGAAUCUACAUUGUGAAUUAUGUAUGUUGACCUGCUGUUGACAAUUAUUUGUUGCCAGGUGACAGGAAUCCCGGUUGUAUUUGUUUCAGCAUUAGAGGGAAGAGGGAGGACAGGAGUCAUGCGUCAGGUCGUAAGUGCGUACGAAAAGUGGUGUUUGAGGUUAUCAACAGCUCGUCUUAACCGUUGGUUGCGGAAGGUUGUUCUCUCCUACUCUUUUUUCUACCUCAUUAACUAUUGUUUGAAGUUGACAUGCACAUGAAACUUAGUUUUAAUUUUUGAUCAAUGCUAAUUAAUAUAAAAGUUUGUUGAAGUUGGACUUUGGUCAAUAAAUUUUAUUAGUAACAGUUCUGCUUCACAAAACAAAACGAACCACUUGGUCCUGUAUUGACUAUCAUAGACUUGUCUUGACCGCUUCAAAUUCCCACUUCUAAGAGUCCUAUUUUUUGUGGUUUUUAUCCAAUCUCAAAACAACAAACGGCACAUGUCAGAUGCAUAUAACUAACAUGUUCUUAACCUGCCAUACCUUGUAUGUUUUUUUUUUAAUAAUUUUCUUCAUUUUGUUCUUCAGGUUAUGAGUAGGCAUUCUUGGAAAGAUCAAGCAUCACAGCCCAAGAUCAAGUACUUUACACAAGUCAAGGCCCGCCCACCUACAUUUGUCGCAUUUAUAAGUGGGAAGACACAUCUAUCAGAUACAGAUAUUAGGUUUUUAACCAAAUCUUUGAAGGAGGAUUUUGAUAUGGGUGGAAUUCCAAUCCGGAUUAUGCAGCGUUGUGUUCCUAGAAAAGAGAGCAACAGUACUAAAAACAGCCAAUCAACAGCAAGAAUGCCUGAGAGGAUGUCAUCUGAGAAGAGAGCUGUCUGAUUGAUGAAUCUUACGGCAUACCUGUGAUACGAUGAAGAGCAGUAAUGUUGGUGUAGAAAGUAGUACUUUCUUCCUCUUAGAAUUCAAAGCUUGUUAGGCUUUGUGACAAAGUUAAAAUUUUGGGAUGGUGAAAGCCACAAGAAGCUAAAUUUGCCUAAGUUGAUCUUAGAAAGCAAAGCUUGUUAUCGAAGUUAAAGCUAUGCAAAGGUGAAAGCCACGAAAAGUCUAAUGUUCCUCGGUUAAUCAUGCGUUUACAGAGAUGAUGUAUAGGAUAAAAGUAGAUUGGUAGCAGUUAGCACUAAUGUCUGAACUGUGUAUAUUUGCAGAAUGGAAUUAGAGGCAAAGUUCACAAGAGUCUGUAUUUCUCUAAGUAAAAACUUAUGUAGUUUAUGAAUUUUGAAUGAAAUUAAAUACUUGGUCACUUGUAUUAGUUGUUUAUUUUGAGCACAUGCAGAUCAAUCAGAUAGUUUUCCUUUCUAUUAGUUUGAAAUACACCACCAUGCAUGUUCGAAAGUAUCAGUUUAAUUAUGACUAAACUGCAAAAAUGUGUACAGUACAAUGACCGAAUGAAAUUUUUUAAUUUAUUGACAAUUAUCAAUAGAAUGUGAUUAUUGGUAAAAUAUUAAAAUUUGAUUGGUUAGAGUAACACUAAUGGACUAUGCUGUUGGAAUGCCUGUUUUUUUUUUUUUUUUUUUUUUUGUAUUUUUUUGUUGUCAUUGUGAAACGAGUUUUAUUUUGACUAUGUCACUACACACGCUCCGCGCAUGGCUUCCAUCGGAAACAUGUACAGACCUCGUACACGAAAAACAACCCAUGUCAUCCCAUCUCACACCCUUAACCAAUCCCAACAUUGUGUACAACAUCUGUAGUUGAGUAUGCGCAUAUCAGUCGUCAGAAAGUAAAUGAAUUUUUACAAGGUGAUUUAGGUUUUGGUCACCAAAGGUUUAUACUAAUUAGGGUUCAGAGCUGGUUUUCUUUUUUAUUAGGUUUUGACCAUCCUUUUUUAACCAACCGCUAAAAAAACCCGGUUGAACCAAAAAAUUUAUCAUAAUACCUAAAUUUACCCCUGAAAACUCACGUGGAGAGCACGUGAUAACUGAAAACACAAGCCUUCAGUUCUUCCCAAACAUCCCAUCAUUUUUUUUCUCAAGUUCUUUUUUUUUUCUUUUUCUUUUUUGCAAAAGGUAGAAUUUAGUAUUCAAAAUCAAAGAAUACCUUGAUCAGCAUGCUUUUCAGCAUCGUCAGGUCAUCAAGCAAAAUAAUACAAACAUCCUACACUUAGUAGUAGAAGCCUUGUACACUUCUGUUCAUUAUGACUUUCCCAUCUCCAUUAGCUCUCCCAUUGUUGGUUUGUAGUAGCAACCAGGCAGUCCCAAGCAGUCUGCAACAUGCUAAAUGUUCCUGGUUGUUUUUGCUUUCUCCAUACAGUUUGCAGUAUGUUGAAAAGCCCUGCACCUUCUCAAUCUUUUUUACCCAAACAUCCCCAUUAUUUCUUCUUAAUCUUACCCUCAGUUUUGCUUCUAAGAUCCUUCAUUCAAUCAAUUUGAUUUGUAAUGUUGUUAACAUGGGGCAUUCACCAAGAACAACAAUUAUUCGAACCCCAUCAUCCAAUUUCUCGUUUUCUUUAUGCAAAGUUAUUCAAUCUUUAGUCCAAGAUGUAGAAACCCCAUCACCCCCAAAUCAAUAUCAUCAUUCACAACAAAUUCAAAUCAAGAAACCCUCAAUUUUUCAUCUUGUUUGUGUUGCUAAAUCUGUUCUUCGAUCAUUUACUUACCCAAUUCAACCUGAAUUACUUCUUCGAAUUGUUGUUUGAGUCGUCGAAUUAAUAGAAAAACAUUCGAACGGUCGGGUUUUCAUAAUUCAAUUGACGAACAAAAUUUAUCCAUGGAUACUGGUUUUCAGAAGAGUUAUAACAAAUCUUAAGUGGGAGGAGAAGAGAAUAAUUAAUUAAUUAAUUAAUAUUUUUUUUAAGAGAGAGGAGAAGAGAAGAUGAUUCUGGAGAAGAUAGAAACAAGUUGGUGUUCUGCCACCAAUUUUCUCAUAAUUUUGCCUCGAGAUUUGUGAAGUGUGUUUGAUGAACGAGGUAGAUUGGGUAGUCACAUGUGUGCAACGUGUUUCUGUCAGAUCUUAAAAGUUAAUCUCGUGCUAAUCACAUGUAAAUUCUAGCCAGGGUAUUUCAGCCAUUAUAGAAUGUUGUAUGGUUCAGUUUACGGUUGAUGGCCAAAACCUAAUAAAAAAGAAAACCAACUCCGAACCCUAAUUAGUAUAAACCUUUGGUGAUCAAAACCUAAAUCACCCAUUUUUACAGAAUUGUCUAUGUCAAUCUAUACUACUAUUAUAAACCUGAAUAAAAUUCAAGGAUAAGUCCCGGUUAAUGAGAAUUAAGCUUUAGAAUUUUAUCACCUAAUUCUAACUAAAAUACCUUUUUAGUUAUGGUUUUUUGAUAAAUUUACAUAUACUUUUUCUUUUAUUUUGCUAUAGAUUGUAAAUGCUAGAAGCAGCAUGAAGCAUGCUGAAGUAGUCAUAGCAAGGCUUGUUGUUGAAGAGGGUCGCAGUCUGGUAGUGAUUGUGAAUAAGAUGGAUCUUUUAAGAGGGAACCAAAAGUUGUAUGAAAAGGUCAUCAAAGCUGUUCCAGAAGAAAUUUUGGCAGUUAUACCUCAGGUAAGUCAGUCUUUAAUAUUCUGUCGUUGUUGUUUCAACAUAAACUUAUCAUAUUCAGAUCGCCUUGGUAAGAAAAACAUAUUUAUACUUGUGUGUGACUGGUUAUGUUUGACUCUGAUUGAGUACCAAAGAUAUGGUAUAUUAGUAUGUUUCUUUUGAUAGAAUUGCCUGCUGAAAGCAGAUGCUCUUUGGAACUUGAUGCUGGCACAUAGGAAUAUGUCUUCCUUCUUGUUUUGCUCAUGUUAAAUUUAGAGUUCCAUGGUUUUACGGGUUUGAGUUUCUUAAAACAAACAUGCUUACAUCCUGAACUUCUUCCAGUCUAUAUAAAAUGUGCUAUAGCUGGACGUAUGACAGAAAAAGAUUGGCGUAGGAAGUGAUAAAGUAGACCUGAGUUUUCAUUGUCCUUACA
rnacentral:lncRNA from 1 species